UAACCUCUGGCGAGAUACGCGAAUGUUG
ncrna:unclassified sequences L19-Flavobacteria ribosomal protein leader